GGGGGCGUAACUCAGUGGUAGAGUGGCACCUUUGCACGGUGUAAGUCGUGGGUUCAAGUCCCACCUCCUCCA
rnacentral:tRNA from 1 species